GAUGAUGAACGUAGUGAAAUGCGAUACGUAGUGUGAAUUGCAGAAUUCAGUGAAUCAUCGAAUCUUUGAACGCACAUUGCACCUCUCGGUAUUCCGGGAGGUAUGCCUGUUCGAGCGUCAUUUGUACCCUCAAGCUCUGCUUGGUGUUGGGUGUUUGUUCCGCCUCUGUGUGUGAACUCGCCUCAAAACAAUUGGCAGCCGGCGUACUUGUUUCGGAGCGCAGCACAUUUUGCGAUCCAGAUCAACGUACAGCGGCAUCCAAGAAGCCUUAUUUAACGCUCUUGACCUCGGAUCAGGUAGGGAUACCCGCUGAACUUAAGCAUAUCAAUAAGCGGAGGA
rnacentral:misc_RNA from 1 species